CGGAGGCUACCGCUAUUGGAGUUCGAUUAAGCCAUGCGAGUCGAGAGUCUUAGGGACUCGGCGUACCGCUCAGUAACACGUGGGUAACCUGCCCUAUGCUGGGGAAUAACCUCGGGAAACUGAGAAUAACGCCCCAUAGUCCACCAUGCCUGGAACGGUUGGUGGAUCAAAGCUCCGGCGGCAUAGGAUGGGCCUGCGGCGUAUCAGGUUGUAGGGGGUGUAAUGUACCCUCUAGCCAUCAACGCGUACGGGUGUUGGGAGACAUAGCCCGGAGAUGGAUUCUGAGACACGAAUCCAGACCCUACGGGGUGCAGCAGGCGCGAAAACUUGGCAAUGCGAGCAAUCGUGACCAGGGAACUCCAAGUGGCUGGGGUAAGACCCAGUCUUUUCUUGACUCUUCAACGGUCUUGGAAUAAGGGGUGGGUAAGGACGGUGCCAGCCGCCGCGGUAAUACCGGCGCCUCAAGUGGUAGUCGAUUUUAUUGGGCCUAAAACGUCCGUAGCCUGUUUGGUACAUUCGUGGGUAAAUCAACCAGCUCAACUGAUUGAAUUCUGCGAGCACGGCCAGACUUGGGACCGGGAGAGGUGUGGGGUACGCUCAGGGUAGGGGUAAAAUCCUGUCAUCCUGAGCGGACCACCUGUUGCGAAGGCGCCACACUAGAACGGAUCCGACGGUCAGGGACGAAGCCUAGGGGGCACGAACCGGAUUAGAUACCCGGGUAGUCCUAGGUGUAAACGCUGUGGACUUGGUGUUGGGGAUUCUCCGAGGAUUCUCAGUGCCGAAGCGAAGGUGAUAAGUCCACUGCCUGGGGAGUACGGUCGCAAGGCUGAAACUUAAAGGAAUUGGCGGGG
rnacentral:rRNA from 1 species